rnacentral:rRNA from 1 species
AUCAGGAAAGAAUAAUGACGGUACCUGAUGAAUAAGCACCGGCUAACUCCGUGCCAGCAGCCGCGGUAAUACGGGGGGUGCAAGCGUUACUCGGAAUCACUGGGCGUAAAGGACGCGUAGGCGGAUUAUCAAGUCUUUUGUGAAAUCUAGUGGCUUAACCACUAAACUGCUUAGGAAACUGAUAGUCUAGAGUAGGGGAGAGGUAGAUGGAAUUCUUGGUGUAGGGGUAAAAUCCGUAGAGAUCAAGAAGAAUACCCAUUGCGAAAGCGAUCUGCUGGAACCUAACUGACGCUGAGGCGUGAAAGCGUGGGUAGCAAACAGGAUUAGAUACCCUGGUAGUCCACGCCCUAAACGAUGUAUACUAGUUGUUGCUUUGCUAGUCAAGGCAGUAAUGCAGCUAACGCAUUAAGUAUACCGCCUGGGGAGUACGGUCGCAAGAUUAAAACUCAAAGGAAUAGACGGGGACCCGCACAAGCGGUGGAGCAUGUGGUUUAAUUCGAAGAUACGCGAAGAACCUUACCUGGACUUGACAUCCUAAAAACAUCUAAGAGAUUAGAAAGUGCUAGUUUACUAGAAUUUAGUGACAGGUGCUGCACGGCUGUCGUCAGCUC